AAAAAAAGUGGUCGGACCACAAGGUGGAGGUCAAGCGGCGUACAGCUGCCCUCCGGAGGAGUACCGGCCUGACAGGUGAGGGUCCGGGGGAGGAGACCCUCACACCGUUUGAGCAGCGAGUGGUGGCGAUUAUUAUUAUAGGGUAAGUGGCGUGUCACACAAAUGUCCACAUGCUUUGUCAUCCCACUGAGCAAAAGACGUAUAUUAGACGUCUAGUCUAAGUUUAUACUUCAUUUCAACGUCGGGAUUCAGUCUAUUUUUGGACGUGAUUUAUACUUCGCCCUUAACUUCAUUUUUCGAUAACUUUUUUAUGCAAUAAACAACUGUAAUGUGCAUAACUGACCUCUAAAUACUGGAUUACAUUACCUAUGACACCGUGGAGAGAGAUGUAAACGCAACAGAUACACAGAAGCAGGAAUUGAAAUGAACCAAUAUUUUUAUUGUGUCACAGAAAUCAAUGUGUCGGCCGUGUCGCCGGCUUGCGGAACCCCGACCCGCGGCAGCCCGUCCGCCGGCUCGGAGUCGUCGGCCAGGACCAGCGGCAUUCGGGCCACCCCGGCCCCAGCACCAGCACCAGCAUCAGCACCAGCGCGCCGACAAGCGGUGGAGCGUCCACCAGCCGCGGCGUUUCCGCUGGACCACCCGGACGCAGUGGAAGGGUCCUCGCGGAGGGGGUCCUGCAAUCGCAGGAAGAAAUCAUCAGGGGGAUCAACGGGGAUCAACGAGCGGCUGGACCGGCUCGUAAAUGUCCUCGAGCGUCUGGAGGAGAAAAUAAAUUAAUUUGGCUCAUUGGACAACUGUGUAUUCACUUCUUACCCAUUCACACUGUGGCGAUGAGAUUCUCCCGCGCGAGGACGGCGGCCCGGCAGGGAUCAGCUCGCAUCCCUCCGUCUGCUGCUGGUUCGUCAUGUGGGGCGACGUGCUGCUCGGCCACGGGGAUGUGGUGCACGCUUGUCACAUAGUGAGUCACCAAACACCGCCACACAGCGUCGCCAAAGUGCGAAUCACAGUCAACGCAAGUUUUCGGCUCAACGCCAAUUUCUACACCACCUCCUGACUUUGCGUUGAUUAGCGCUGGAACCGAC